AACAACCCAGGUAUUAACAUCUCUUGUUUUGAAAGAAAAACAAUACUCGUGCCAUAGGCCCAUGGUGUUCGUAUCCAAGGCCUUGCUGUGCCCCCUCCAAGUCUCUCUACUUGCCCGGCAGCUGGCGUCUUGGCCUGGAUAAGCCUGGGGUGCAAAUGUGAGCAGGUAGCUGUGGACCAGAAAGAAUGAACCCCAGGAAAGUCAGUGUGGUGAGACCGCGUGUGGCAGCGGGAGCAGCAUCUGGACACCCAGAAAAAGAAAUGAAUGCAUGAGUUCUGAGAGCAGUGAGAACAGUAUGGCACUGAUGUUCAAUGAAUAUCCGCAUCACAAACCGACCACAGAAUAUAUCCUGCCUGAAGACUGGUCACCAGUGGAGGAGUGAGUCUGGGGAAGAUGCCCUCUGUCCUCUGUCAGGGAUGUCUCAUGCUCACCGUUCAGCUGCACAGCUGCACCUCAUCAUGCCCAGGAUAGGAUCCUAGCCCCCAGGUCUCCUGAGGACCCUCUGACGACCUUGUUCCCCACCUGCACUGCUGGCACAUGUGGUCACUGCUCCACAAGUUACUCCGAAAUUCCACGAUGUCAUCAAGAAGAACGGCAUGUUUGGAAUCUCCUUUCUCCACUGUUCUAGGAAGCCCAUUCAAAUAUCUCUACUAUUGAGUUCUUAUAUUUUAUUCUAAAAUAAUCUUUAAUUAUAUUCUUGAUCACCUCUAACAUUACAUAAAGUAGCACAAAGACUGGAAUAAUGGAAUCUGGCUGUCUUGGUUAUGAACUUUCAUUUCCUGAUACUUAAAUGGAGAUAAAACCACAGGCCUGGUAGCAUGUAAACCCUGCUUUAAAGGAUAUACAUUGUGUGACAUACACAUGAGAGCUGUGCAAUCAGUGGGCCCAUGUGUAUUAUGAUAAUAGCUCAGUACUUAAAGAGAAUGACUCAAAGGUUUUAGCUCCCUUGAAGAUUCACGCACAAAACCACAUACAAAAUCAUGCCACACCCCCAUGGACGUCAUGAUUAUCUAGACCAAAGACCAUGAAAUGAGGAGUUACUGAAGCUUUCAUCCGCAGCGCAGGAAUUCUGACUGUGUUCAUAUGCAUAGCCAAGAUGUCACAGAACUGUCCCUUUGCCAUGCAAAAACGUGGGUCAGUCAUGAUCCUGUGAAAUGCGUUUCCUUAGCAGAGCUUCAGAACACUGAUAUUGAGACCAGGGAUGGCAAGCAAAGGCCACUCUGCAACUCAGAAAGUGGCUGUGGUCAAUCACUCCUAUCUAAGAGCCCAGAGGAGUGAGUGCUGACCAGCAUGUGAAGAGAAAGAAAUCUGUUGCACACCGCUGUCGGGAAUGUAAGUUAGCACAGCCAUUAUGGAAAAUUGUGUGAAGGGUCUUUGGAGACAAAACCAGAACUCGUCCCAUUACUGCAUCUAUUUCCACGAGAAAUGAGGCCAAUGUGUCAAAGAGAUAAAUGCUCUGUGAGCACUAAACACAGAAACUUAAAACACGAGGGAAAAACGCACUCCCACCUUCACAGCAGCCCCAUUCACAAGUGCUAUGAAAUGGAAAUACUUGUCAGUGGGCAUGGUGGGCAAACAGGUGAAGAGAAGGAACUUAGACACCAUGGGAUACUAGUUAGCCCUACCAAGAGUGGAACCUGUGAUUGGUGACAACCUGGGAGACCUAACCAUCAGUUAGUGAAAUUAGCCAGGUACAGAAGCCAUGGUCUCCUUCACAGGCAGGGUGUGAAAAGGUGGAGCCUGUGGGGGCUGGGAGUGGAGGAGUAGAUGCCAGCAGAGUCGGGGACCAGGGGGCAGGGCGAGUGGUCAGUGGGGCAGUGAGAAAGGAGCAGAAGAUGUGGCACACUGUGUACCUAAGAUGAAGGGCCUAAAAGUUUUUGCCUUGGGAAAUGGCAAGUUGGGGACAGAGGUGUGUGACUGAUGGAACUCAUGCUGACUUCAGCUUUCAGAGAAGAAACAAAACAGACUCCUGUGUAUUAAGGGCUAGCAUCUGCUGGGUGCCAGGAUUGUUAAAGCCUGUCUGGGUGGCCUGGUGUACAUUACUGUGUGGCACAAAGUGGCAGUGGCUGGUUUCUCCCCAGAGAAACCAAAGUAGGGAAGCGACAGCCAAACUGUGGUUUCCCUAUGUCUGUAAUGAGAGAGCCUCUCACCAAAGCACCUGCCAGAAGGGGUCAUUUCUUCUGAAAAGCAGUCAUCAAGGCCGUCGCAGAGGGGCAAGACUCAUGAGCAGGAAAUGCUGUGCUCACCCGGGGAUGCCUGUGUGUUUCAGUGUGGUGCCCUUAUGAUAAAGUUCACGCUGUUUUGGUUGGCAGAGGAGACAUCUGCACUUGCCGCCUCCUCCACACAGAAGAGCCAAGGGGACAGGUGUGUCACUGCAUAUUGAGGUGGCAACCACGGAGAACACCAGAAAUCAGAAGGAGAAACUUGCACAACUCAUAGGCCUGGGAUAAAAGCAUAAUAAGCAUCUAUCCACCAGCUCCCCAGCCAGGGUGAGGGCUAAAGAGACAGAUGGCAGCAAGUGGGCAGUGUGAUGCUGGCAACCUGGGCAUCCACACAGCUGCACAGUCCUUGCAGGCCAACUGAGGUGGCCAGUUGGAGCUCCACACAGCACCCCUGCCACGAUUCCUCCAGCCAACCCUGCGCUAGCCAGGAAGAUAUUGGGAAGGAAAGCUAUCAUCUGACCAUGGGCUGCUGAGAGGUCAGAAGCUCCUACAUUGCUCCAGGACCUCAGAGACAGCCACCACAUAAGCGCAAGGGACAGCAGCCUCGAGAGCCCAGUGCAGCUCAGCAGAGUUCCUCUGGCCCCCACUCUGCUGUCGUCCCUGUAAGAGGCAGUUGUUAGGAGGUGGAGGGAGUAUGAAUGGAAUGCAAAGACAGUUUUAAUAAAGCUAAAGGAGGGCCAAGAGAAUGUAGACAAGCAGAGAUACAAAAUUGGGAAGAUAAUGCAGGAUACACAGGAGAAACUCAUCAAAGAGCUUCUGAAAAAGGGCCAAACAAAUCUGGGAAAUGAAGAGGCUGAUGCACCAAUAAAAUACACAAUCAAAAGCCUUAACAGCAGACUACAGCAAGCAGUAGAAAGCACAUCAUCUAAGUCCAAGGUCCAUGAGAAUGAAGGUAAGGUAGAGGAAAUCCAUGAACUGAUGUGAUAGAGAACACUUGACUAAUUGUGGGAAAGAAGUGGGCAUCCACAGAGGAGGUUAACAGAACCCCAAGUACACAGGGCCACAAAGAUCUUCACUAAGGCAUGCUACAGUCAGACUUUCAAACAUUCAAGAGAAAAGCCCAAGUAACAUUUAAGAGAAUCAUUAUAUUAGGCUAAAAGCAGACUCAGCAGCACAAACCCUAUGGACAACAAGGAAGGAAUGAGUGACAGACCCAAUGUCCUCCCACCAAAAUAACUUCCAGCCAAACAUGCUAUCCCAGUGGGGCUCAGAGGACCCAAGAGGACCCGAGGGCAAGCUGCCUCCCAGACUCUGGUGAGAUCAUCAGGUAGAGUGAAUCAAGUCAGACAUAGGUUAAACACGGCAUGAUUUCUCUUCACUAAAACCCUUUUGAUCAAGCAGUUUCUAGUCUACGAACCUGUCUUAUAGAAAUAUUGGCAAAUGUGUGUAACUAAUAUGCUUUUAUCAUGGUUUCAAAUCAGACAAGCUAUGCUUGUGGGUAGUAAACCAGCAAGUGCAUCAUGAAACAUCUUACGGGUGCUGUGAGCCCAUGCCAGAAGUGUGCAGGGACUCUGUGUGAAGGACAUGAAGCAAAAAAGGAAAAACCAAACAAUGGUGCAAUACGCAUGUUCCCAUGGUGGGUGUGUGUGAGCUCACCCCUGUGCAACCCAGAUUCUGGAAACAGACCAAGGCAUAUGUGAGUAGAGACGGAGGUGGCUGAGUGUGCCAGCUUUUCCAUGAUAAGCUUUCACAUUACCCGAAUUGUUUCAGUGAGCAUCUACCAUUUAUUAAAAUGUUUGAAUAAACAGACAAAAGAACUAGAUGU